rnacentral:rRNA from 1 species
GAUGAACGCUGGCGGCGUGCCUAAUACAUGCAAGUCGAGCGAACAGACGAGGAGCUUGCUUCUCUGACGUUAGCGGCGGACGGGUGAGUAACACGUGGAUAACCUACCUAUAAGACUGGGAUAACUUCGGGAAACCGGAGCUAACACCGGAUAAUAUAUUGAACCGCAUGGUUCAAUAGUGAAAGACGGUUUUGCUGUCACUUAUAGAUGGUUCCGCGCCGCAUUAGCUAGUUGGUAAGGUAACGGCUUACCAAGGCAACGAUGCGUAGCCGACCUGAGAGGGUGAUCGGCCACACUGGAACUGAGACACGGUCCAGACUCCUACGGGAGGCAGCAGUAGGGAAUCUUCCGCAAUGGGCGAAAGCCUGACGGAGCAACGCCGCGUGAGUGAUGAAGGUCUUCGGAUCGUAAAACUCUGUUAUUAGGGAAGAACGAAUGUGUGAGUAACUACGCACGUCUUGACGGUACCUAAUCAGAAAGCCACGGCUAACUACGUG